CGCGUAGGUGGCCUGUUAAGUCAGAUGUGAAAGCCCCGGGCUCAACCUGGGAAUUGCAUUUGAUACUGGCAGGCUCGAGUGUGGUAGAGGGAAGUGGAAUUCCGGGUGUAGCGGUGAAAUGCGUAGAUAUCCGGAGGAACACCAGUGGCGAAGGCGGCUUCCUGGACCAACACUGACACUGAGGUGCGAAAGCGUGGGUAGCAAACA
rnacentral:rRNA from 1 species